rnacentral:lncRNA from 10 species
GCUGCUCACCAAGGACUGGAGAGGCCAGCCUGCAGAUCAGAGAAGCAGAGAGACUUCCAGACAGUUUCUCAUUUGAAAAUUGUUUCCAGAGGGAAUGUUUUUAGUAUUCAUCUAAAACUAGCCUGUAUACUCAGCCUAUCCACUUAACCGGUCACACUGCAAGGCAGCGUGAAUAAUGGAGUUCUACUGCCAGCCUCUGCAUACUGUGAACGAGUCAAGCCACAGAGCCCGAGUGACAUCUGGCUGACAUAGUGACUGAGGGAGACCUCCAGUGUCAAUUCAUAUAUUAAAUAAAGUAUUAAUUUCUGUCCUUUUUUGAUAA